rnacentral:lncRNA from 1 species
UGUUGAUCUGUCACACCUCCUCCAGCACUUGCCUUCUAAGAGGCUAGAACUGACCUUUCAUCUCAGAAUAUAGGCCUGGUUCCAGUGGUGGGAGAAGAGCCAAGACCUCGCUCCUGCGCCCUUCUCACCAGUUUAUUUUCAUUUUCUCUCCCUCCAAAAAGGUAGAGACCUCAUGGUAUGAAAAAGAUAUGGGCUCCCUCUCACAGCGAUAAGCACAAGAAUGCUUCUUUUAUUUCAAGGAGAAACAACUUGAGUCUGAGAUGUCCCGGUGCAGUGGGGGGAAUCCGAUGAUGUCUGAUCACUCAGCAGCAGACAGAUUGGUGUGUUUUAAGUGUCAGUCCCAGGAUUCCUCCCAGGCUGCUAGGGAUGUCCCCAGACAUGUCUGGCUCUCAGAAGAGCCCUGUGGGUACACAAGAGGGAGUCUGUAAUUGCAGAAUUUGGGGUACUCCUCAGCUAAAGUAGCAGACGUCUGGCAUCCUCCAGACUGCUGGAGUAGCUGUCUGCAGCUCCCACCCACAACGCCCAGCAUACUUGUAGCAUCCUGAGACUCAGGCUUCUCCUCAGUGGAUGGAUAAUGUCACGAGAGAGCUGAGACUGUCCCUCCAUUUGUGUGAGGGGCCAGUUUUCUGCUUUGACCUGGAACUCUUCCCUAUUGUUGGGGAAUGAAUAAUCUUGGUGCUAAACAAAGGAACACAGAAACAAAGAGAAAGUAAUUCAGCAGAGUGAUUUCUUUUUGCAAAAGGGUGUGGCUAGAACCCAAACUGGUUUAGCAGACACACUCCCUAAAAUGACCUAUGUUCCUUCUACCCCAAUGGUGACUGCAUCUUAUCUCCUUGGUGAGAGCUCGACUUCAUGGUCCAGUGCGAUUGGCUAAUUUGCACAAAAGGAAGUGAGGUGGUUUCAGGAAAUCCAGGGCGCUAGGAAAACAGUGUCUUGCACUAUUGUGCCAGUGGGUUAGGGUGACCAUGGGAAAGCACCACAGUGUAUGUGACUUUUUGUGUGUACACAUCUGUUUCUGUGUGUGUACAAACACGUAAAGGCCAGAGGUCAACCUCUGGUCUCUUUUCCUUGGGAGCCAUCCACCUUGUUCUUUUUGAAACAAGGUGUCUCAUGGCCUGGGGUUUUCCAAGCAGGCUGGUCUGGAUAGGCAGAAGGCCCAGUGCAGGGAUUGUAUGAGUGUGUUCAUGUCUCUCCACCACUGGGUCCCGGGAAUGGAACUUAGGUCUCUUUCUUGUAUGGUGAGUACUUUGUCAUCUGAGCUGUCUCCAUCUCCACCACCCCCUUUUAUUAUGACAAACCUUCAGAUAACCUAGAAGUUGGGAGAGCAGCUCUUCAUCCUUAAGAGUUCAGCGUGGCUCUCAGGAACGCGUUGCUCUCUGUAACCACAGCACUUUAUCCUCUCAAGGAAACUUAAAGUAACUCCUCACAGCCUCUCAUCCACACCACAUUCAGGUUUCUGUACGCAUCUAACAAAGUCUUCAGGGACUUUCUGCUGUUUUGUGGCUGUCAUGUUCCCCUCUCCCACCCCCAAGGCCAAAUGCAAGUAUUUCUUAUGUUUCAAGUGUUUUCUUAUGACACUGUUGAACUUGCCCCUCUGUCCUCUGGAAGUCAAGUCUAAAUGACCCCAGGUCCCAUCCGUUUCAUUAAGCAAUUGGCAGUUAAUGCCAAGUGAUACCUAACCCAUCAGAUCUCUCUGGGCUGUUCCCAGUUAGAGAAGCUGAGCUUGCUCUAGGCAGCUUCCCACUGGAUGGGGACCUGAUUUGGAACCUCAUAGGCACCCAUUGACAGCUUCUGCCGGAUUCAUUUCCAUGGGAGUUACAAGACAUGACUGAUAAUCCUACCACUAGCUGAUAGUUCUUAAUGGGGAACUGUAAGGACCAAUUUUUACAGAAAAAGUUUAGUACAAUAAUUGCUCCUGAUGGUGGGAAAUAAAUCCCUCUAUGUGAUUUUCACUAUGGACUCAUGGAGUUUUCUCCAGGCAGUGUUUUAUAAUCAAUUGCAACCAUUAUUUUGAUGCUCAAAUUAUUGCAGAUUCAGCCCAUGAGACCCUUUCAGGCUGCAUUUUAUGCCCUUUGAACAUGUCCCUUCUAGUCGGUAACUACCUCCUCGUGGCUUAAGCUUCUCUUUCGUUUUCUAUUUCUAAGCCUUGAUUUAAAGG